CCAAUAGCGUAUAUUAAAGUUGUUGCAGUUAAAAAGCUCGUAGUUGAACUUCGGGGUUUACUUAUUGGUCAGGCUUAAUUGUCUGCACUGGUGAGAUGAAUCUCUACCUUCUGAGGAACUUUCAUGCCAUUUAUUUGGUGUGAUUGGAAAUCAGGACUGUUACUUUGAAAAAAUUAGAGUGUUUAAAGCAGGCUAACGUCUGAAUACAUUAGCAUGGAAUAAUGAAAUAGGACGGACUGAUUCUAUUUCGUUGGUUUCUAGGAUCACCGUAAUGAUUAAUAGGGAUAGUUGGGGGCAUUAGUAUUCAAUUGUCAGAGGUGAAAUUCUUUGAUUUAUUGAAGACUAACUACUGCGAAAGCAUUUGCCAAGGAUGUUUUCAUUAAUCAAGAACGAAAGUUAGGGGAUCGAAGACGAUCAGAUACCGUCGUAGUCUUAACCAUAAACUAUGCCGACUAGGGAUCGGACGAAGUUAAUUUUAUAAUGACGCGUUCGGCACCUUACG
rnacentral:misc_RNA from 1 species